rnacentral:rRNA from 2 species
GUUGUGAGGUUAAGCGACUAAGCGUACACGGUGGAUGCCCUGGCAGUCAGAGGCGAUGAAGGGCGUGCUAAUCUGCGAUAAGCGCCGGUAAGGUGAUAUGAACCGUUAUAACCGGCGAUACCCGAAUGGGGAAACCCAGUGUGUUUCGACACACUAUCAUUAACUGAAUCCAUAGGUUAAUGAGGCGAACCGGGGGAACUGAAACAUCUAAGUACCCCGAGGAAAAGAAAUCAACCGAGAUUCCCCCAGUAGCGGCGAGCGAACGGGGAGGAGCCCAGAGCCUGAAUCAGCAUGUGUGUUAGUGGAAGCGUCUGGAAAGGCGCGCGAUACAGGGUGACAGCCCCGUACACAAAAGCGCAUGUGCUGUGAGCUCGAUGAGUAGGGCGGGACACGUGGUAUCCUGUCUGAAUAUGGGGGGACCAUCCUCCAAGGCUAAAUACUCCUGACUGACCGAUAGUGAACCAGUACCGUGAGGGAAAGGCGAAAAGAACCCCGGCGAGGGGAGUGAAAAAGAACCUGAAACCGU